GAAUGGUUAGGAUGUAGUCAUAGAAAGGCUUGAAUGCCAAGAUCUUUAUUCCUAUGCAUUUUGAGCUUCAGGCUGCCCCCAAAACGUCUUGUGGAGCCAGCAUAUGUAGCCCAUAACAAUAAAAACAUGAAGAACAAUAAUAUUACAUCAGUGAGAUUUUCCCCUGUGUCUGGAGCACUUGAUCCAGAUUUCAUAUGCUUUGAUGUGUACAACUGAUUUUCCAAAGCACACAGCUCUAUAUCAUGCUAUUCAUCCUGUGCAUGAAACCGGUUCAUUCAUAGACUCCUAGACAAAUUGGUGUAAUGACAGUAUGUGACCGAAUAUAGAAAGUCAUCGUUUGAAAGCUGGUCAGGAGCCGAUGACAGGGACCAGUCAGAAUGGGACGUGGAUUGGACAGGCACAGCAAACGGGAGGUACAAGAGCAACAAAGUCAGGAGGUCAGACUCAGCCUCGAGGCUGAGAACCGAAAAGGAGGGGGACAAAUUAAUUCCCAUCUUGUACCUGCGUGUUCAUGCUUUGCAAUUACCCUGGGGUCAGCAGUGACGAUGUAUCAUCCUCCAAGUGAAGUAUUUCCAUAAUUUUAGACACCAUAAGGAAAUCACAGUAGCUGUCAUAUACUGUUUCUUCAUUAUUUCGAAGGGGCAGAGAAAGGAGAGGGAAGGAGGAUUUUAACUUCCACCCAGUUUCCCUGCUAUUUAUACUCAAGAAAAACGAUAGUUUUGGCAACCUCCCUUCUCACCCGUGGCAUAUCGAGAGUGGCCACAAGGAGGUGUUGUUUUUCCAAGCCGUGCAUUAGUAAUCCUGUGAUACCAGAAUGCCUAAGAGGCGCCUUUUGGGGCUAAAAUAUGUACUGAAAGAUAAAUGUCUCCUAAUUUAUCUUCUUGUCUAAACAGAGGAAUCAGAGACAGCUUGGAAGUAAUGUGUUCUGGUCUUUAUAGAUGGAGAACCGAGGUGUAAGGUGAUGUUGCUUGUCCCUUUGCUGACUGACCAGAGCAGAGGGAGGCCAGAUGAGGGGAUGAAUUUACUUUGUGUGGACCUGCAGUGGCUUCCUUGUUCUUGCAAAAAGAAAAUAUCAGAGUCAGACCACGUUUCUCAGAACUUCUGUUUCUGGCACUGUUGUGGAACUGAUGCAUUUAUUAACGGUUGCUGAUUUGUAAAAUUAGGCUUUUAGGCACCAGCAAAUGCAUACCUGAAGGAGAUAUAGGACAUUGCCCAGUGACAGGAAAUAGACUAGUGCCAGCUGUGCACCGAAGGCCGGAAUGGAAAGAUCCUUCUUGGCAGAUGACCAGCAUAUCACCAUUCACAAGCCUGCCACUCACUGUUUGUUUUAUGGACUACUACAAAAGAAUACUCAGGAAAUGGAAAGUCACAACCUGUCUGAAGCCCGUGGUCUCUUUAACACUUUUGGGUGUAAUGUGUCAUGUUUCUCAUGGUUCUUUCUCAUGCGUUUUCUCUCUUGACAUAACUUCAGAUUCUGCCUAGCAAGACAGAAUAGCAGGAGAAAGAAAAAAAAUUAGUCUAUCGGUUGAAUAAGCAAUUAGGUAAGCAAGAUAACAUCCUGGUAGUCCAUUUUUUUUUCAUGACAAAACACAAAAGAAGAAUGGAAUAGUGCGUUUUCUUGACAUCAUCCAUAAACAAUUGUUGAGCUGAGAGUGUUCCUAGUUUAAAGAAUACGUUCACACAUCUGAUGAGUCAGGGAAGACAUUUUUACGUAUGGACACACACUAUAAAAAAUACAUGCUAACGUGCAGUCACUCGUAUGUCCAAGUGGUCAAGUUGCCAUCUGUCUCUCGGACAUAACUGACAAAUGUGGCAUAAUUUUAAAUUGCCCCAUUUGAUUUACUGCAAAAAAAAACUAAAGCAGAGAUGGCACAGGUAUCAUUUGGUUAGUCUGUGGAUAAUUAGAAAAAUUACCAUAAAUGCCCACUGUAAAAGCAAUUACGGUAAGUUAAGUUGGCUGUUUUGUUGGGUAAUACUGAUUCUGAUUUCACAUAAAAAAUCCACAUCAAAAAAAUCAACCCACAGCUCAG